GCCCGGCUAGCUCAAUCGGUAGAGCGUGAGACUCUUAAGGAGUUCUCCGUAUGGCAUCUCAAGGUUGUGGGUUCGACCCCCACGUCGGGCU